CAGUCCGCCACGGGAAUACGUAGGUGGCAAGCGUUGUCCGGAAUUAUUGGGCGUAAAGGGCUCGCAGGCGGUUUCUUAAGUCUGAUGUGAAAGCCCCCGGCUCAACCGGGGAGGGUCAUUGGAAACUGGGAAACUUGAGUGCAGAAGAGGAGAGUGGAAUUCCACGUGUAGCGGUGAAAUGCGUAGAGAUGUGGAGGAACACCAGUGGCGAAGGCGACUCUCUGGUCUGUAACUGACGCUGAGGAGCGAAAGCGUGGGGAGCGAACAGGAUUAGAUACCCCCGUAGUCCCUGUCUCUUAUA
rnacentral:rRNA from 1 species